UACAGAGGUCCCAAGCGUUGUUCGGAUUCACUGGGCGUAAAGGGUGCGUAGGUGGUCGGGUAAGUCUGAUGUGAAAUCUCUGGGCUCAACCCAGAAAUGGCAUUGGAUACUAUUCGGCUAGAGGAGUGGAGGGGGAACUGGAAUACUUGGUGUAGCAGUGAAAUGCGUAGAUAUCGGGAGGAACACCUGUGGCGAAAGCGGCGCACUGGACCACAACUGACGCUGAGGCGCGAAAGCCAGGGGAGCGAACGGG
rnacentral:rRNA from 1 species